AUUGAACGCUGGCGGCAUGCCUUACACAUGCAAGUCGAGCGGCAGCGCGUCCGACCACCCUCGGGUGGUCGGAUGGCGGCGAGCGGCGGACGGGUGAGGAAUGCAUCGGAAUCUGCCUCGUUGUGGGGGAUAACGUAGGGAAACUUACGCUAAUACCGCAUACGACCUACGGGUGAAAGUGGGGGACCUUCGGGCCUCACGCGAUGAGAUGAGCCGAUGCCGGAUUAGCUAGUUGGCGGGGUAAAGGCCCACCAAGGCGACGAUCCGUAGCUGGUCUGAGAGGAUGAUCAGCCACACUGGAACUGAGACACGGCCCAGACUCCUACGGGAGGCAGCAGUGGGGAAUUUUGGACAAUGGGCGCAAGCCUGAUCCAGCCAUGCCGCGUGCGGGACGAAGGCCUCGGUUGUAACCGCUUUCAGCCGGAAGAAAUCGCCGUUUUUAAUACUAGACGGUGGAUGACGGUACCGGAAGAAGAAGCACCGGCUAACUACGUGCCAG
rnacentral:rRNA from 1 species